GAGGCAUGAACAAUAGAGAAUAGUAUAAAAAUGGCUUGCUUUUUGUAAUAAAUUGGUUUCACUUGAUCAUACUGAUCAUGGCGCGAUGUCCCCUUACUGAUCCUCCGCACAUUUUGGUGCCCGAACGAGGGACCCGGAGACGGCUAUUUCACGGUGGUAAGAGGUACAGUGACAGCCUUCGGGAGGUGGAGAAGCCGGUCGAAAGUAUCCUCACUGCCCCGGCAAGAAGAAAAGGUGAAUAAAGGAGCUCCAAAUUGAAGAAGAAGUGAUCUCGCCCUGAUCAGAUAAAGGAAUUCGCUGGUUCCGGCCAAGUAGGUGAAACCUCACCUAAAGUCACACCUGCCAGCUCUGUCCAGAAGCAGAACGUCGGCGACAGCACCAACUCCAGACGCAGCUGAACCUGAUGCUCCAGCACCUGAGGGUUGAACAAUGGCUGAACAUUUUUUCCACAGCUAUUAACAGAUGUGGGCCAACUAGCUGGAUCUGGGGUUACAGUAACCAGUAACGACAGCCUACCACCAUUUCCAAUAUGGGUCUUAAAUCAAAUUGAAUGAGCUUCUUCUGUUCAUGGCUAUUUUUGCAAACCAUGGAUCAGGGUCCAGUGUGUUAAGCGCAAACUGAAGUGAAGGCGAUAAGUCCGUCAGGAAAAAAAAUCUUUUUAUACCUCACAGGAAAAAGCAAAAA